CCUUUGACGUUAGCGGCGGACGGGUGAGUAACACGUGGGUAACCUACCUAUAAGACUGGGAUAACUUCGGGAAACCGGAGCUAAUACCGGAUAAUAUUUCGAACCGCAUGGUUCGAUAGUGAAAGGUGGUUUUGCUAUCACUUAUAGAUGGACCCGCGCCGUAUUAGCUAGUUGGUAAGGUAACGGCUUACCAAGGCACGAUACGUAGCCGACCUGAGAGGGUAAUCGGCCACACUGGAACUGAGACACGGUCCAGACUCCUACGGGAGGCAGCAGCG
rnacentral:rRNA from 1 species